rnacentral:sRNA from 1 species
GCCGGGUGUGGUGGUGCAUGCCUAUAAUCCCAGGGGCUCGGGAGGCUGAGGCAGGAGGAUCGCAAGUUCAAAGCCAGCCUCAGCAAUUUAGUGAGGCGCUGAGCAACUCAGUGAGACCCUGUCUCUA